GAGUAAAUCUGUUAUGCUUUGAC
rnacentral:siRNA from 1 species